CCUACGGGGGGCAGCAGUGGGGAAUAUUGCACAAUGGGGGAAACCCUGAUGCAGCGACGCCGCGUGAGUGAUGAAGUAUUUCGGUAUGUAAAGCUCUAUCAGCAGGGAAGAUAAUGACGGUACCUGACUAAGAAGCUCCGGCUAAAUACGUGCCAGCAGCCGCGGUAAUACGUAUGGAGCAAGCGUUAUCCGGAUUUACUGGGUGUAAAGGGAGCGCAGACGGCGGGGCAAGUCUGAUGUGAAAGUCCGGGGCUCAACCCCGGGACUGCAUUGGAAACUGUCCGGCUAGAGUGCAGGAGAGGGAA
rnacentral:rRNA from 1 species